AGUGAACGCUGGCGGUAGGCCUAACACAUGCCAGUCGAACGGCAGCACAGUAAGAGCUUGCUCUUACGGGUGGCGAGUGGCGGACGGGUGAGGAAUACAUCGGAAUCUACUUUUUCGUGGGGGAUAACGUAGGGAAACUUACGCUAAUACCGCAUACGACCUACGGGUGAAAGCAGGGGAUCUUCGGACCUUGCGCGAUUGAAUGAGCCGAUGUCGGAUUAGCUAGUUGGCGGGGUAAAGGCCCACCAAGGCGACGAUCCGUAGCUGGUCUGAGAGGAUGGUCCGCCACACUGGAGCUGAGACACGGUCCAGACUCCUACGGGAGGCAGCAGUGGGGAAUAUUGGACAAUGGGCGCAAGCCUGAUCCAGCCAUACCGCGUGGGUGAAGAAGGCCUUCGGGUUGUAAAGCCCUUUUGUUGGGAAAGAAAAGCAGCAGGUUAAUACCCCGCUGUUCGGACGGUACCCAAAGAAUAAGCACCGGCUAACUUCGU
rnacentral:rRNA from 1 species